rnacentral:rRNA from 1 species
CGAACGUUGGUGGCACGCUUAACACAUGCAAGUCGAACGGUAGCAGGUCCUUCGGGAUGCUGACGAGUGGCGCACGGGUGCGUAACGCGUGGAUACCUGUCCUAGAGUUCGGGACAACAGCUGGAAACGGCUGCUAAUACCGGAUGUGUUCUACGGAAUAAAGACUUCGGUUGCUUUAGGAGGGGUCCGCGUUGGAUUAGGUAGUUGGUGGGGUAAGGGCCUACCAAGCCGACGAUCCAUAGCUGGUCUGAGAGGAUGGUCAGCCACACUGGAACUGAGACACGGUCCAG